CGGUUUAUUAAGUCUCUGGUGAAAUCCCGUAGCUUAACUAUGGGAAUUGCUGGAGAUACUAGUAGACUUGAGGUCGGGAGAGGUUAGAGGUACUCCCAGGGUAGGGGUGAAAUCCUGUAAUCCUGGGAGGACCACCUGUGGCGAAGGCGUCUAACUGGAACGAACCUGACGGUGAGGGACGAAAGCUAGGGGCGCGAACCGGAUUAGAUACCCGGGUAGUCCUAGCCGUAAACGAUGCGGACUUGGUGUUAGGAUGGCUUUGAGCCGCUCUAGUGCCGAAGGGAAGCUGUUAAGUCCGCCGCCUGGGAAGUACGGCCGCAAGGCUGAAACU
rnacentral:rRNA from 1 species